rnacentral:rRNA from 1 species
AACCUCCGCAAUGUGAGAAAUCGCGACGGGGGGAUCCCAAGUGCCAUUCUUAACGGGAUGGCUUUUCUUAAGUGUAAAAAGCUUUUGGAAUAAGAGCUGGGCAAGACCGGUGCCAGCCGCCGCGGUAACACCGGCAGCUCUAGUGGUGGCUGUUUUUAUUGGGCCUAAAGCGUUCGUAGCCGGUUUGAUAAGUCACUGGUGAAAUCUUGUAGCUUAACUGUGAGAAUUGCUGGUGAUACUGUUGAACUUGAGGUCGGAGAGGUUAGCGGUACUCCCAGGGUAGAGGUGAAAUUCUGUAAUCCUGGGAGGACCACCUGUGGCGAAGGCGGCUAACUGGAACGAACCUGACGGUGAGGGACGAAAGCCAGGGGCGCGAACCGGAUUAGAUACCCGGGUAGUCCCGGCCGUAAACGAUGCGGACUUGGUGUUGGGAUGGCUUUGAGCCGCUCCGGUGCCGAAGGGAAGCUGUUAAGUCCGCCGCCUGGGAAGUACGGUCGCAAGACUGAAACUUAAAGGAAUU